GAUGAACGCUGGCGGCGUGCCUAAUACAUGCAAGUCGAGCGAAUGGAUUAAGAGCUUGCUCUUAUGAAGUUAGCGGCGGACGGGUGUGUAACACGUGGGUAACCUGCCCAUAAGACUGGGAUAACUCCGGGAAACCGGGGCUAAUACCGGAUAACAUUUUGAACCGCAUGGUUCGAAAUUGAAAGGCGGCUUCGGCUGUCACUUAUGGAUGGACCAGCGUCGCAUUAGCUAGUUGGUGAGGUAACGGCUCACCAAGGCAACGAUGCGUAGCCGACCUGAGAGGGUGAUCGGCCACACUGGGACUGAGACACGGCCCAGACUCCUACGGGAGGCAGCAGUAGGGAAUCUUCCGCAAUGGACGAAAGUCUGACGGAGCAACGCCGCGUGAGUGAUAAAGGCUUUCGGGUCGUAAAACUCUGUUGUUAGGGAAGAACAAGUGCUAGUUGAAUAAGCUGGCACCUUGACGGUACCUAACCAGAAAGCCACGGCUAACUACGUGCCAGCAGCCGCGGUAA
rnacentral:rRNA from 1 species